UGCAGAGAAACCUGAACAUUUGUUUCAGAAAGUUGUUGAGUCACAGAGCAGUAUUACAACUGCACCGUGAAAACUAAAUCUUUCCAAUAAAUUUCACAGAAGGGUAGCUCUAUUUUAAAACGAAUUAAAUAAAAUUUUAAUUGUCUAUACUUUUUAAGGAGAAUAUUGUCCUAUAUUUCAGUUUGUGCACAGUGUAUAUACUCACACAGGCGUACAGGUGAUAUUUCUAAAUGGAAUUGCUAAGUGAAAAAGCAAGGACGCUGAGAUGAUGAAAACGGGAUGUAUGAUAACCCUAUCACGUACCAGUCCAGACCACCUUUUCCUACAGGCGUUGUGAACGUUAAUGAAUACUAACAAGAAAUGUUGCUUUUUGAUGUCUUGGAGAACAAACAAUCUCAACUAUUUUUUCAUCUAAGGUAAAACAGCCAAACUGGAUCAGAGUAAUCUUAUCUUACAUUAUCAGUGGUAGAAGCCUCAACAAACACCAUGAUUGAGCAGCUUUCUACUAAUUUCAAUUUGAAUCAUUACCCACGUAGUACUAGUAAUAUGGAAAUACUGACCUGUAGAAUGCAUGCCACAACAUAUGAAGUACGAUAUGAAGGCUGUCAUGUAUGUGCAUAGUACCUUUAGGAGGCUAACAUGAUACAUGUAUCGAUGUUUCUAUUAAUUUGGCUAGGCAUAUAUACAGAUAGCUUAAAAGGGCUUGCUUUCUUAUUUGGAGCAUUCUUUGUAAAUAAUUGUUUAUAAGUUUUAAAAGGAAUGAAUAAAAAGUUUAAUUAUA